rnacentral:pre_miRNA from 1 species
UGGUGAUGAUGAUGAUGACGAUGAUGAGGAAGACGACGAUGAUGAUGAUGAUAAUUGUCAUCAUCGUCAUGUCUUCGUCGUCGUCAUCAUCAUUG